UUUUUUUCUUGGUGAAUAAUCAUAGCAUAAUGUGGUUUAGAAGAGCAACAGUGCACUACUUCAGCUCUACACAUGGAACUUACGUUUAAGUGUAGCUUGGAUCUAGGGAUACAAUAAGAAAAGUCUGUAAAAAUAGGACACAAUGGUUUUACAUGUAUUUUGAAUUAUGCAUCGGAUUGUGCUGUGUUUUAGGAUUGAAGGAAAUGUAUGUAAACUUAACAUCUACUGUCCUGGCAGAAAAUUGCCUGUACCUAAUCCGUUUUUCUACUAUUUUUGUUUGUCUUACAGUGUACAUGUUAAAGCACAACCAAACCAGA